rnacentral:rRNA from 1 species
GACGAACGCUGGCGGCGUGCUUAACACAUGCAAGUCGAACGGUGAACGAGGGAGCUUGCUCCCCCAGGAUCAGUGGCGAACGGGUGAGUAACACGUGAGCAAUCUGCCCCGAACUCAGGGAUAAGCGAUGGAAACGACGUCUAAUACCGGAUACGUCGCGGGAGGGCAUCCUCUCCGCGUGGAAAGAACUUCGGUUCGGGAUGAGCUCGCGGCCUAUCAGCUUGUUGGUGAGGUCACGGCUCACCAAGGCGACGACGGGUAGCCGGCCUGAGAGGGUGACCGGCCACACUGGGACUGAGACACGGCCCAGACUCCUACGGGAGGCAGCGGUGGGGAAUAUUGCACAAUGGGCGCAAGCCUGAUGCAGCAACGCCGCGGGGGGGACGACGGCCUUCGGGUUGUAAACCUCUUUUGGCAGGGAAAAAGCGAAAGUGACGGUACCUGCAGAAGAAGCACCGGCUAACUACGUG